rnacentral:rRNA from 1 species
UACAGAGGUCUCAAGCGUUGUUCGGAUUCAUUGGGCGUAAAGGGUGCGUAGGUGGCAUGGUAAGUCGGAUGUGAAAUCCCGGGGCUCAACCCCGGAACUGCAUUCGAUACUGCUGCGCUAGAGUACUGGAGAGGAGAUUGGAAUUUACUGUGUAGCAGUGAAAUGCGUAGAUAUCGUAAGGAAGACCAGUGGCGAAGGCGGCUUGCUGGGCCGGACCUGACGCUGAGACGCGAAGGCGUGGGGAGCGAACGGG